rnacentral:rRNA from 1 species
GUUCUCCUACGGGAGGCAGCAGUAGGGAAUUUUCGUCAAUGGGCGCAAGCCUGAACGAGCAAUGCCGCGUGAACGAGGAAGGUCUUCGGAUCGUAAAGUUCUGUUGAAGGGGAAAAAGAGCGGAGAGAGGAAAUGGUCUCCGAUUGAUAUUACCCUUCGAGGAAGUCACGGCUAACUACGUGCCAGCAGCCGCGGUAAUACGUAGGUGGCGAGCGUUAUCCGGAUUUAUUGGGCGUAAAGCGUCCGCAGCCGGUUUAUUAAGUAUAGAAUAAAACUUCGGGGCUCAACCCCGUCUCGUUCUAUAA